rnacentral:lncRNA from 1 species
CUAGAUUAUUUUUUGUUGCCCAAUCAGCUGAGCUCAGUACGGCAUGCAGCUGCUCUCAGGCUAGGCAAUGCAUGCAACGGCAAUAGAAUGGGACCUAGAAAAUGAGAGCAUUUUGGAUCCUCGACUGUUUCAGAAGAGGUGGGCGCCUGCAAUAUCGGGACGGAGCGUUUCAAAUAGUACGCCCGUUAAAAGAGAAUAACUUAUAAUGGAUCUUGAUUCUUGAAUCAAUCUGGUCCGGGUAAUCUUUGGCUAAAGAAGUCGUUCUAAUCAUAUUAUAUAAUAUAAAAAUAAAACGAAAAAAUAUAAUUACUCCUCUUUUU